rnacentral:rRNA from 1 species
UACGGGGGGGGCAAGCGUUGUUCGGAAUUACUGGGCGUAAAGGGCUCGUAGUCGGCGAACUAAGUCGGACGUGAAAUCCCCAGGCUCAACCUGGGAACUGCGUCCGAUACUGGAUGGCUUGAAUCCGGGAGAGGGAUGCAGAAUUCCAGGUGUAGCGGUGAAAUGCGUAGAUAUCUGGAGGAAUACCGGUGGCGAAGGCGGCAUCCUGGACCGGCAUUGACGCUGAGGAGCGAAAGCCAGGGGAGCAAACGGG